rnacentral:rRNA from 1 species
GACGAACGCUGGCGGCGUGCUUAACACAUGCAAGUCGAGCGGAGCGGCGAACGGGUGAGUAACGCGUGAGUAACUGCCCCCCUCUCUGGGAUAACAGUUGGAAACGGCUGCCAAUACCGGAUAGUGGGGGAUGACUCGCGGCCUAUCAGCUUGUUGGUGGGGUAGUGGCCUACCAAGGCGACGACGGUUCGCCGGCCUGAGAGGGGGACCGGCCACCAUGGGCUACGGUACGGACCAAAAUCCAACGGGAGGCAGCGGUGGGGAAUCUUGCACAAUGGGGGAAACCCUGAUGCGGCAACGCCGGGUGCGGGAUGACGGGCUUCGGGUUGUAAACAGCUUUCUGCCAUGACGCGGUAGUGUCAGAAGAAGCACCGGCUAACUACGUGCCAGCAGCCGCGGUAAUUC